rnacentral:rRNA from 1 species
UACGAAGGGAGCUAGCGUUGUUCGGAAUUACUGGGCGUAAAGGGCGCGUAGGCGGCCUUGUAAGUUAGAUGUGAAAGCCCCGGGCUUAACCUGGGAACUGCAUUUAAGACUGCAAAGCUAGAGGACGAGAGAGGAAAGUGGAAUUAUGAGUGUAGAGGUGAAAUUCGUAGAUAUUCAUAAGAACACCAGUGGCGAAGGCGACUUUCUGGCUCGUAUCUGACGCUAAGGCGCGAAAGCGUGGGGAGCAAACAGG